rnacentral:ncRNA from 1 species
AUUGAACUAGAAAGCGCUUAAAUAUGUAGUAAACGCAAAAAUGACUAAAGAAUUCCCCAAUCUACUUACUUCAUUGAUAAUAAUUGAUUACGCGCCGCAUAUAAUGUCAGAUAUUCGAGAAAUCGUUACUUGAGUCGGAGUCCAGCCUGGCAACAGGAACGACCAUAAAGAAGCCGUCGAGAGAUAUCGGAAGAGUUUUCUUUCCUGUUUUAUAGCCGUACUACCAUGGAAGUCUUUCGCAGAGAGAUAUGGUAGAUGGGCUAGAAGGGCAUGUUGUGUCGAUAUUUUCUCCUCGGACCUUACAAAUUUAUGGUGGGGACACGAAAACUACUCAACAGGCCGUACCAAUAUCCGCAGCUGGUCUCCAAGGUGAAGAGUCUCUAGU